CCUACGGGUGGCAGCAGUAGGGAAUCUUCCACAAUGGACGAAAGUCUGAUGGAGCAACGCCGCGUGUGUGAUGAAGGGUUUCGGCUCGUAAAACACUGUUAUAAGAGAAGAAUGUCGGUGAGAGUAACUGUUCAUCGAGUGACGGUAUCUUAUCAGAAAGGGACGGCUAAAUACGUGCCAGCAGCCGCGGUAAUACGUAUGUCCCAAGCGUUAUCCGGAUUUAUUGGGCGUAAAGCGAGCGCAGGCGGUUAUUUAAGUCU
rnacentral:rRNA from 1 species